GGUUGUUUGGACCGAGCGGCCGAAGGCAUUCGACUUAGGAUCGAGUUGACGUGGGUUCGACUCCCACAACAACCA